rnacentral:rRNA from 1 species
CCUACGGGCGGCAGCAGUGGGGGAUAUUGCACAAUGGGGGGAACCCUGAUGCAGCGACGCCGCGUGUGGGAAGACGGUCCUCUGGAUUGUAAACCACUGUCCCCAGGGACGAAAAUGACGGUACCUGGGGAGGAAGCUCCGGCUAACUACGUGCCAACAGCCGCGGUAAUACGUAGGGAGCGAGCGUUGUCCGGAAUUACUGGGUGUAAAGGGAGCGUAGGCGGGGAUGCAAGUUGGGUGUCAAAACUACCGGCUCAACUGGUAGUCGCACUCAAACCUGCAGCUCUUGAGUGAAGUAGAGGCAGGCGGAAUUCCUAGUGGAGCGGUGAAAUGCGUAGAUAUUAGGAGGAACACCAGUGGCGAAGGCGGCCUGCUGGGCUUUUACUGACGCUGAGGCUCGAAAGUGUGGGGAGCAAACAGGAUUAGAUACCCUGGUAGUC